AGAAUGUUUUGCUAAGGGCUUCCUGGAGUCGAUUAGGGGACAAGUCCUUUGUCUGUUUAAGAGACAGCAAGUAGGCAGCCAUGAAGCAUGCAAUGCCCUCAACUAUGUCUUCUCGCCGAACAAGAACAUAAUCUUCUUGAUCAGAAUCAACAUUUUCAUCUUCCCAUAGAUCAUUUUCACUGACCAUGUCCCAAGAACUACCUUCUUCUCCAGAAAUAUUUUGUGGAACCGACACGUGAGCACACUCUAGCUUUUCAAGGAAGUCAGGGCAUUCAACUCUAGAUUUGAGAAGGUCGCACAACUCAUAGGCUUCCCGAUCACAAGGCGACGCCACUGAACACUCUCGGCGGGACUCGUCAUCGUCGUCGUCCUCAACAGCCGGCUUACCGCCGCCGUUAUCAUUAUCGUCAUCCUCUUCGUCAACAACAUCAGUGUUGUUACUGAGCAAUUCGAGAGAUCUCUGGCACUUCUCGAGCACGGCCUUCAAGGUCUUCCUCUUGACGCGAACAGGAUCCUUAUCUUCUUCUGCUUUAUUCUUGCUGGCCCCCAAAUCGACUAGAUUGGAAGAGCUGGAGAACUCGAUUUCCAUGGGUUGUAUUUUUGUGUUAAUCUGUUUGGUUUGGGGUUUUCUUUCUCAAAACCCUAGAAAUUAAAUUCCUGGUCCAUAACUUUUAGUUUUGAGGAAUCCUAUAAAUCAUGAGGUAGCAGAGGAAUAAUUAUUGGGAUUCAACAUAUGCUAUUUUCUUUCGUUGUAUUUAAUAUUGAUUGGGGGUGCAGCGGAGGAACGAUGCCGACGAGAUGACUCUACUUCUCAACCUUUUUAGCAGCCGUGCCCGC
rnacentral:misc_RNA from 1 species